UAUCGUGAGGUAGAAUCUGAAGGAAGUCGGCGGCAAACCUUUGGUCUGAGGAACACGAAUCACAUGAGGCUUAAUUUAGUGGGUAAGCUUGCCUAACAAAGCAAAGCCCAAUAACUAUCCGAAAACUAAUUAAGUAAAUGUGGCAGAUAGAUGAAUGGAAAGUGU
rnacentral:ncRNA from 1 species